rnacentral:tRNA from 1 species
GAGGCUGGAGCCAGACGGCCAGGCAAUCGGCUGCAACCCGAUCCAAGUGGGUUCGACUCCCACCGGCCUCU